rnacentral:RNase_P_RNA from 1 species
UGGGGUAGGAAGGUGGUCGCGCAGGAAGGUUGAUGCCUUCCUGUGAGGAAAGUCCGGGCUCCACAGGGGAGGGCGCCGGGUAAUACCCGGAGGGAGUAAUCCCUGGAUAGGGCCACAGAAAACAGACCGCCCACUGCCCCUAUCUUAGGGGUAAGGGCAAGGGUGAAAAGGUGGGGUAAGAGCCCACCGCAAGCCCUGGUAACAGGGCUUGGCACGGCAACCCCCGCCCGGAGAAAGGCCAAACAGAGCCAUGGGUGCCCCGCCCGAAGGCUCGGGUAGGCCGCUUGAGGCAGAGGGGUAACUCUCUGCCCUAGAGAAAUGACCACCACCUGGGCAUAACCCAGGGACAGAACCCGGCUUACCUACCCCAGCUU